CCUACGGGAGGCAGCAGUGGGGAAUAUUGGACAAUGGGGGGAACCCUGAUCCAGCCAUGCCGCGUGUGUGAAGAAGGCCCUCGGGUUGUAAAGCACUUUCAGUGAGGAAGAACGCCUGGUGGUUAAUACCCAUCAGGAAAGACAUCACUCACAGAAGAAGCACCGGCUAACUCCGUGCCAGCAGCCGCGGUAAUACGGAGGGUGCGAGCGUUAAUCGGAAUUACUGGGCGUAAAGCGCGCGUAGGUGGCUUGAUAAGCCGGUUGUGAAAGCCCCGGGCUCAACCUGGGAACGGCAUCCGGAACUGUCAAGCUAGAGUGCAGGAGAGGAAGGUAGAAUUCCCGGUGUAGCGGUGAAAUGUGUAGAGAUCGGGAGGAAUACCAGUGGCGAAGGCGGCCUUCUGGACUGACACUGACACUGAGGUGCGAAAGCGUGGGUAGCAAACAGGAUUAGAUACCCUAGUAGUC
rnacentral:rRNA from 1 species